rnacentral:rRNA from 1 species
ACGGCGAGUGAAGCGGCAACAGCUCAAAUUUGAAAUCUGGCCGUUCGGCGGUCCGAGUUGUAAUUUGUAGAAGAUGCUUCGGGUGCGGCGCCGGUCUAAGUUCCUUGGAACAGGACGUCAUAGAGGGUGAGAAUCCCGUAUGUGACCGGUGACCCAGCCCGUGUGAAGCUCCUUCGACGAGUCGAGUUGUUUGGGAAUGCAGCUCUAAAUGGGUGGUAAAUUUCAUCUAAAGCUAAAUACCGGCCAGAGACCGAUAGCGCACAAGUAGAGUGAUCGAAAGAUGAAAAGCACUUUGGAAAGAGAGUUAAAAAGUACGUGAAAUUGUUGAAAGGGAAGCGCUUGCGACCAGACUCGCUCGCGGGCGAUCAGCCGUCCUUUUGGGCGGUGCACUCGCCCGUGAUCGGGCCAGCAUCGGUUCAGGCGGCUGGAUAACGGCCCCGGGAAUGUGGCUCCCCUCGGGGAGUGUUAUAGCCCGGGGCGCAAUGCGGCCCGCCGGGACCGAGGACCGCGCUUCGGCUAGGAUGCUGGCGUAAUGGUCGUAAGCGACCCGUCUUGAAACACGGACCAAGGAGUCUAACAUCUGUGCGAGUGUUUGGGUGUCAAACCCAUGCGCGGAAUGAAAGUGAACGGAGGUGGGAACCCUUCAGGGUGCACCAUCGACCGAUCCUGAUGUCUUCGGAUGGGAUUUGAGUAAGAGCAUAGCUGUUGGGACCCGAAAGAUGGUGAACUAUGCCUGAAUAGGGUGAAGCCAGAAGAAACUCUGGUGGAGGCUCGCAGCGGUUCU